CGCCCCGCAAGGGGAGUGGCAGACGGGUGAGUAACGCGUGUGGAAUCUACCCUUUUCUACGGAACAACUGAGGGAAACUUCAGCUAAUACCGUAUACGGCCGAGAGGCGAAAGAUUUAUCGGAGAAGGAUGAGCCCGCGUUGGAUUAGCUAGUUGGUGGGGUAAAGGCCUACCAAGGCGACGAUCCAUAGCUGGUCUGAGAGGAUGAUCAGCCACACUGGGACUGAGACACGGCCCAGACUCCUACGGGAGGCAGCAGUGGGGAAUAUUGGACAAUGGGCGCAAGCCUGAUCCAGCCAUGCCGCGUGAGUGAUGAAGGCCCUAGGGUUGUAAAGCUCUUUCACCGGUGAAGAUAAUGACGGUAACCGGAGAAGAAGCCCCGGCUAACUUCGUGCCAGCAGCCGCGGUAAUACGAAGGGGGCUAGCGUUGUUCGGAUUUCUGGGCGUAAGCGCACGUGGCGGACUUUAGUCAGGGGUGAAAUCCCGGGGCUCACCCCGGAACUGCCUUUGAACUGGUGUCUUGAGUUCGAGAGAGGUGAGUGGAAUUCCGAGUGUGAGGUGAAAUUCGUAGAUUUCUGAGGAACACCAGUGGCGAAGGCGGCUCACUGGCUCGAUACUGACGCUGAGGUGCGAAAGCGUGGGGACAAACAGGAUUAGAUACCCUGGUAUCCACGCCGUAACUAUGAGAGCUACCGUCUGGCGUAUACUGUUCGGUGGCGCAGCUGACGCAUUAAGCUCUCCACCUGGCGAGUACGGUCGCCAGAUUAAAACUCAAAUGACUUGACGGUG
rnacentral:rRNA from 1 species